rnacentral:rRNA from 1 species
UAGUGGCAGACGGGUGAGUAAUGUAUAGGAAUCUACCUAGUAGUACGGAAUAAUUGUUGGAAACGGCAACUAAUACCGUGUACGCCCUACGGGGGAAAAAUUUAUUGCUAUUAGAUGAGCCUAUAUUAGAUUAGCUAGUUGGUGGAGUAAUAGCCUACCAAGGCAAUGAUCUAUAGCUGAUCUGAGAGGAUGAUCAGCCACACUGGAACUGAGAUACGGUCCAGACUCCUACGGGAGGCAGCAGUGGGGAAUAUUGGACAAUGGGCGAAAGCCUGAUCCAGCCAUGCCGCAUGAGUGAAGAAGGCCUUUGGGUUGUAAAGCUCUUUUAGUGAGGAAGAUAAUGACGGUACUCACAGAAGAAGUCCUGGCUAACUCCGUGCCAGCAGCCGCGGUAAUACGGAGAGGGCUAGCGUUAUUCGGAAUUAUUGGGCGUAAAGGGCGCGUAGGCUGGUUAAUAAGUUAAAAGUGAAAUCCCGAGGCUUAACCUUGGAAUUGCUUUUAAAACUAUUAAUCUAGAGAUUGAAAGAGGAUAGAGGAAUUCCUGAUGUAGAGGUAAAAUUCGUAAAUAUUAGGAGGAACACCAGUGGCGAAGGCGUCUAUCUGGUUCAAAUCUGACGCUGAAGCGCGAAGGCGUGGGGAGCAAACAGGAUUAGAUACCCUGGUAGUCCACGCUGUAAACGAUGAAUGUUAAAUAUGGGAGGUUUACUUUCUGUAUUACAGCUAACGCGUUAAACAUUCCGCCUGGGGACUACGGUCGCAAGAUUAAAACUCAAAGGAAUUGACGGGGACCCGCACAAGCGGUGGAGCAUGUGGUUUAAUUCGAUGCAACGCGAAAAACCUUACCACUUCUUG